rfam:Microbacterium sp. STBG005 Ion018_assembly_c3029, whole genome shotgun sequence.
CCGUUCUCAACGGGGUGCUGCAUCACUGAUGUGCGCUGAGAUAAUACCCGUCGAACCUGAUCCGGAUAACGCCGGCGAAGGGAUUUGAGGCUGUCUCUCAA